rnacentral:lncRNA from 1 species
AGAAAAUUCCACCUAGAGGUGUGUCAUUGGUAGAAGGUUUGAGGUUUCAAAAGCCCCUAUUGUUCCAGCUUAGCUCUCUCUGAUUUGUCGUGUUUCAAGAUGUAAGCUUUCAGCUCCUGCUUCAGCUCUAUGCCUCCUUGCCUGAAGCCAUCCCCCAUGGUGUUCAUGGACUCUAACCUUCUGAACUGUCCUCUCCAUAUCCCCUUCCAUUCCGAUCCACUCCCUUUAUGGCUCUCAAUUGAAAAGAACAGGCUUCUAAGAGAGCCCUCAUCCAGUGGCUGAUGGAAGCAGAGGCAGACACCCACAGCUAAACACUGAACUGAACUGGAACACACUUUCAGACAGGAAGGAGUGAUGAGCAAUCGGGUCAAGACUGGGCUGGUGAAACCCAAAGAAACAGCUGACCUGAACAAGGGGACAAUGGGAAGAUCAUGGACCCCAGACUGAUAGCUGAGAAUGCCUGCAUGAGAC